CACUAAAUGUUUGUUUAACAAACCAAUAACUGGAUGAGUCAAUGAAUGAAUCAAAGAAUGAGUUGAAGAGUCCAUUUAAUCAAGCAUUUUAGUGAAAGAUACACAGAAGGCGUGCACUGAACUCGAGCCAGUGAAUGGCUAACCAACUAGGACAAGAUGCCGAACUCCAGAGAGAUGCUGUGCAUGUGAGUGAACAAAGAGCAGAAGACAGCAUUCUCCUUGCAUUCCAACACAAGUCCAUUCAUUGCUGGCGUUACCCUUGGAGAGAGCGUCAAGGAAUUGGAUCCAGGAAGCUCAGCUGAAGAGGGGAGACGGCUUCCCAGAACAGAGGGAAAUCAAAUCAUAGCUGAUAAGGGAAAGAAGCUGUAGCCAGAGUUAGUGCCAAACAUCAGGCCUGAAGGAUAAGACUACACUCAAUAUGAGAAAAUGAAUCAUGAGGGCAAAUCUAAAGACGGUCAAGAUGCGGAGAAAAAGGAUGAAGCACAGACUGCAAGGGCCAGGAUGAGGAUGAGCUGGAGCAGGCCAGAGUGGAAGGACAUCCGAGGCCAGGGACUAGGAAGUUGGUGGGACAGAGGCUAAGAAAUGGCCACUGUUUCACAGCAGGCUGGCCUGGGAAAAAGAGGUCUUCACCAGAAAGAGUUAGACAGCGAUUCCUUGGGAGACGACCAUCCAGGCUUUGGGGACAUUCGAGGCCCAGCCCUGUGUAUGAAAUUCCUCAAGGAGAUGGGAAAUUCCUUUUACUGUUCUCCACAUGAACUUUUUUCUUCUUGGAGACUCUCUGUCUCCCUACCUUCUUACAUCAGUCACCUGGCCAAUUGCAAUGGCUUCUAAACACACCCAGCCAUCAGUCCACUCCCCACCCGCUGAAAAUCUCUACUCCCCAGUCCAACCUCCAAAAUGGAUGCCUCUCCCCAUCACUCUUGGAAGGAGAUAAAAUUCAAACUCCUGAGUAUGCCUUUUAUAGGCUGGUUCCUGACUUUCUCUCCUGCCUCACAGUCUACUGUUUCCCCCAACAAAUCAUAUCCUCCAGCCUGACAAAAUUACUCAUUAUUUCCUGAACACGCUACACCUUUUUUUUUUUUUUUUUUUUGGUGAGGA